AUCGCUCAGCGUUGUCCUGACGUUGGUGUGAAACCCUGAAAGAGUUAAGCAACGAGGUUAACCUGAUGGGGGUUUGGAGAUUGCCCUUCAGGUCAAAGGCAGUGGAGAGCUGAUUGGGAAACUAGCAGGAAAGCGGCCCUCUUAGCGUAGCCAUGGUGAUGGGAGCGCAGGGAGGGGUUGGACCCGUGGGAAAAUUUUAGAUGGUCGCCCCGAGGGCCUGGUGACGGGCUAGAGAGGUCCCAGAUUUGGUUUAGGCAGAGCUGGCCUUCAGCCUGACCUUCUCCUGGCUCUCUAGAAGUCAGGCGUUGACUAGAGCCCUGAUGGGAUGCCCUGAGUUCUGGAUCGCUGCCUCGGUCCAGGUCAGCAAAGCCGUCAGGAGCUGAGGUGAGCCAGGGGUGGCCCGAGGGUGUCAUGUCUCCAGGUUCGUUCCUAUAUAAAAUAUUACCUUGACAUUGUCGCUUAUCUUUCUGACUGUAAAGCAUUUACCCAUGAUUUCAUCUUGAAAUAUCUUUGAGGAAGACAGGAUGUGGCCCAGGAAGGCUGUUAUCUAAUAAUGACGGCAAAUAAGUGUAGCAGGUCACAUAUUUAACUUGUCGUUAUUCCCGGACAAUGGUAUCUACCUGCCCUUCACCCGUCUGGCUACAGCGCAGCUCGCUGGUUUGAAGGUAGCGCGAGGGCAUCGAUGAGAUUCCACCAUGAUUCAAACACUGUUGAGCUCUGCCUUUGGAGGAGGUCCCAGACUCAGCCAGACACAGUUCUGGCGAAGGGGCUGUGAGUGGAGAAAUAGCUUCAUCUCCUCACUCCCUCAAUCCCCAGCCAGAUGAACCCAGAUCCAUUAAAGAGUGAUCUUGGGGGUGUCAUUAGUCCAGAUCCAAACUCAGAAACAGACGUGUCUUCGGUGUGUGUCCGGAGUCAUAGCUCUUCACCCGUCACUCUGCUCCAGUGCAGAUGGUCAGGUGCAGUGUGAGUGCGGGAUGAACCUGACCUACGAGCCAUACCCAGAGGUCAAAAUACAGAGUGCUAAUCCACGGGGAUUUAGGAAACUAAGUUUCUGUUAUUAUGCUCCCUCUGCUGGUUUUAUUCCAGAGCUAAAUGCCAAGGAUCAUCAUUCUUUGAUAUUUCUGCCGAAAUCAGAGUAUAUUUCUACCCAAAAGUCAUAAGUGAUUUGAACAAAGGGGGAAAAAAAUCAGAUUUUGGCCUUAGAAAUUAAUAGUACCAAUAAAAUCUCUGUUUUUCUUCUCAGAAUUUUUUUGGUUAGUAUGAACAUACUGGAAAUAGAGGGCUCGAAGGGAACCUUUCAAAGCAUACUACUUAAGUACAGAUUUGUUCAUUGACUGUUAAAGAAUUACUGAAAAUAACAGUGUAGUUAUAAAAAAAUAACUAAAACAAGGACAGGCACAGUUCGGCGCAAAUGUGCAAGUUUCCAUCAUUAAAUUGACAGCUUAAUUUUGGAUUACAGUGGAGGCUUUCACAUUCAGUAGACUCGGUUUUCCACCAAAAGUCUGUCGAGGGGCGUUCUCCUGUGGCACAGCAGGUUAAGGAUCCGGCACUGUCACUGCAGCAGCUUGCACUGCUGCUCUUGCAUGGGUUCAAUCCCUGGCCCAGGAACUUCUGUGUGGCACAGGCGAAGCCAAAAAAAAGAGUCUGUCAAGACACUGGCCUCGGAGCUCCCGAUGUGGCACAACAGCGGGAUUGGCAGUGUCUUGGGGGCUCUGGGGAGAGGGCUCAGACCCCCCGCCUGGCACAGUGGGUUAAGGAUCUGACGUUGCUGCAGCUGUGGCUCAGGUCAAGAUUGCAGCUCAGAUCUGAUCCCGGGCCCGGGAACUUUUUGUAGCCAAAAAUGGAAAGAAAAAAAAAA